CAAACAAAAAGACCAUGGAGGCUUUCUCCUGUUUGUUUCCAGCUGCUGCUUCUCCUUCUGCCUCUGGGAUGAUCUAAACUCAUCUCUUUCUGCCUGUUCCCUCAGCUCCCAUACAUCUCUUAAGCAGUGUUUUUGGAAUUCCACAAUGCACACAUUUCCUUCUCUCAAAAAGGGGAAAGUAUAUUUAAAUUUGGAACAGACUGGGU
rnacentral:lncRNA from 1 species